ensembl:lncRNA
AAGGCAAAAGUCAAAAAAAAGGCAAAAGUCAAAAAAAAGGCAAAAGUCAAAAAAAAGGCAAAAAUGUCAAGCGGAAACGACGAAAUGUACAUCCUCGAGCAAAGCUUCGAGAACAACAGUGUAACGUGGAAAGAUAAAUACGAAGAAACGAAAAAUAUUUUAAAAAAAUAUAAUUUAUUUUCUGAACAUUUAAUUAAUUAUAAUGUAGAUUUUUACUUUAACAAACUUGGAUUUAACAAAUUACAUUUUGAAGAAACAAGUCCAGAAUUGAUAAGUAAAGUUGUUGUUUGUAUAAUUACGGCCAAAAUAAAUGAACAAUAUUCAAGUGAUAAAUAUUUUCCAAUUUUUGAAGAAAAACAAGAUAAUGUUAUUUUUAUAAUUUCGAGAGUGUUUGCUGAAGAUAAAAAAACUAGAUUAAAUUAUAAAUUGGAAAAAAAAAUUGAAUCAAAAUAUUUUAAUAUAACAGAUAUGUCACAAGAAUGUUACAAAUUAAGAAGUUUUAGAUCAAUACAUUCUGUUUUCGAUAAUGAAAAUGUAGAUCAAGAACCACUUAGAACAUAUAUUUUAGAAUUGCCAACAUAUAAACCUGAUCCUAUCUCUGAAGGUGAAACUGAUUUAGAAAAAUUAAUGGAUAUAAGUUUUUAUAAUCAUAUAAAAGGUACACCAAAGGAAAAUAUAUAUUACGAACUUAAUAAAGCUGUAUUAUUUGAUUUAACAGGCCAGUUAAUACAAACACAUUAUUACAUGAUGUCUAAAAAUAGUGCUUCCCUUUCAAUAGCUGUAAAAAGAAGUAAUAUAAAACCUACCAUAUUUUCAUUAAUAGGUCAAUGUUUAAACAUGCAUAAAUGUUUUUCUUAUUCUAAAUAUGUUCAACCGUUAAAAAAUGGAGUUUUAUUAAUUAUAUUAAAUAUAACAGCUACUAGUGUACAAAAAAAUAAUAAACCAAAAAAAACUUUAGAAGAAAGAAUACAUCAAAUUAUAAAAUCGGUUAAAACAUUAUGUUUUUUUAACUACCCCAAAUUUAUACCAACACUAACAAAAAGAGUAUUCACAGCAGAAAUAGCAGCUUAUCUUUAUAUUAUGACACAAUUUAUUACUUUUUUUUCUGCAAACACUUUAUCAAGUUAUAAAAAUGUAGAAAAUGAAUUAAAUAUACGAUCUUAUAACAACAAUUCUGUGUUAAACGAUUUUUAUAUUAUAAAAGAAAAAUUAAAAAAAGCUGUUUAUACAAAAGAUGAUAUAUUAGAUUGUGCCCUUAGUAAUGUACAAAUUAUUAAAGCGUUAUAUAAUAAUUUUGAAAAAAAAAUGAAUAAAAAAAAUUAUACAUGUAGUAAGAAGGGGUCAAGUACAAACGGAGUAAACGGGGUAAACGAGAUAACUGGCACAACUCCCAACAGUUCUAUUAAUAACAAUGCUCUCAACAAAAACACAAUUACAAACAAAAGUAGCAAAGAUAUUAUCGACGAAAUUGAAAAUAAUCACCAUAAAAAUAUAUUACAAUAUUUUUAUUUGUUUGAAGAAUGUGUAGUUAAAACAAACUUUUUUAAAACACAUAAAAUAAGUUUUGCUGUAGCGUUUGACGGUCGUAUAUUAAAAGAUUCGAUUUAUGAAGCACAACCAUAUUCUAUUAUAAUGAUUUUAGGAUUAUAUUUUGUUGGAUUUCAUAUAAGGUUUAGUAGUAUAUCAAGAGGAGGUAUACGUAUAGUUAUAUCUAACAACAUGAAUUCGUAUAUGCAUAAUUAUAACAAUUUGUUUGAUGAAGCAUAUAAUUUAGCAUUUACACAAAAUUUUAAAAAUAAAGAUAUACCAGAAGGAGGUAGUAAAGGAAUUAUUUUAUUAGAUCCAGCAUAUUGUAACAAAACAAAUACAAAAUAUAUUAAAAAUUUAUCUUUUUAUUCCUAUGUUAAUUCUAUUUUAGAUUUAUUAGUACCAGAAAGUUAUGAAAGUAUACAAACAGUUCAGGUAAAAAAUGUUCCAAACAAAUAUAACAUAUCAGAUAAGAGUAAAGAAAAUGUCAUUAAUAAAAAAAAAGAUAGUGUAAACAAAUCUAUUACGAAUGGUAUUUUAAUAAAAUGUGAUAUAUUAGAUAUAAGUAGAGAAAACAAUACUAUUGUCAAUUUAAAAGAAGAAACUGUGAAUAAAUCUUCUAUUAACGGAAUAAUAAAACAUUGUGAUGAAGAUGAAGAUUUAAUCUUUCUUGGUCCUGAUGAAAAUACUGGAUGUGAUCAAUUAAUGGAUUGGGCAAAUAUUAUAGCUAAAAAAAGAAAUUAUAAAUAUUGGAAAACUUUUUCAACAGGUAAAGAAAGAAAAAAUGGUGGUGUACCUCAUGACUAUUAUGGUAUGACUACGUUAGGUAUAGAAACAUAUAUUAAAAAAUUGUGUGAACAAUUAAAUUUAAAAGAUGAAGAAAUUGAAAGAUCUAUUGUUGGAGGUCCUGAUGGAGAUUUAGGUUCUAAUGCUAUUUUACAAUCAAAAAAUAAAAUAGUUUCUAUUAUAGAUGGUUCAGGUGUUUUAUAUGAUAAAAAUGGUUUGAAUAAAGAAGAAUUAAUACGAUUGGCAAACUUAAGAAAUGAUAAAAAAGCAAAAGUAAAUACUUCUUGUGUAUUAUAUAAUGAAAAAUAUUUAUCAAAUGAAGGAUUUAAAGUUUCUAUUCAAGAUCAUAAUGUAAAUAUAUUAGGAAAAGUAAUUAAAAGUGGAUUAGAAUUUAGAAAUACUUUUUUUUUAAAUCCAUUAAAUAGUUGUGAUCUAUUUAAUCCAUGUGGUGGUAGACCUCAUUCCAUAAACGUUUUUAAUGUUACAAAUCUUCUUAUUAAUGAAAGUUGUAUUUAUAAGUAUAUAGUAGAAGGUGCAAAUGUUUUUAUAUCCGAUGAUGCAAGAAAUAUUUUAGAAAAAAAAAAAUGUUAUACUUUUUAAAGAUGCUUCAACAAAUAAAGGAGGUGUUAUAUCAAGUAGUUUAGAAGUA